GUGGGGAAUAUUGGGCAAUGGGGGAAACCCUGACCCAGCGACGCCGCGUGAGGGAAGAAGGCCUUAGGGUCGUAAACCUCUGUUGUGUGGGAAGAAGAGCGUGACGGUACCACACGAGGAAGUCCCGGCUAACUACGUGCCAGCAGCCGCGGUAAUACGUAGGGGACGAGCGUUGUCCGGAUUUACUGGGCGUAAAGGGCGCGUAGGCGGUAAUUUAAGUCAGCUGUGAAAUGGUUUGGCUUAACCGGAUCAUGCGGUUGAAACUGGAUGACUGGAGUGCUGGAGAGGCAAGUGGAAUUCCCAGUGUAGCGGUGAAAUGCGUAGAUAUUGGGAAGAACACCGGUGGCGAAGGCGACUUGCUGGCCAGCAACUGACGCUGAGGCGCGAAAGCCAGGGGAGCAAACGGGAUUAGAAACCCCAGUAGUCC
rnacentral:rRNA from 1 species